UACGUAGGGUGCAAGCGUUGUCCGGAAUUAUUGGGCGUAAAGAGCUCGUAGGCGGUCUGUCACGUCGGCUGUGAAAACCCGAGGCUCAACCUCGGGCCUGCAGUCGAUACGGGCAAACUAGAGUACUGCAGGGGAGACUGGAAUUCCUGGUGUAGCGGUGAAAUGCGCAGAUAUCAGGAGGAACACCGGUGGCGAAGGCGGGUCUCUGGGCAGUAACUGACGCUGGAGGAGCGAAAGCGUGGGGAGCAACAGG
rnacentral:rRNA from 1 species